UCGGAUGUGGUGUACGGAACACAGCGAGGUAUUGCAGCCCUUGAAAAGAACGUACAAACUGGCAGUCCGGGGUUCGACUCCCCGCGUCCGAA